GACGAACGUUGGCGGCGUGCUUAACACAUGCAAGUCGAGCGGUAAGGCUCCUUCGGGAGUACACGAGCGGCGAACGGGUGAGUAACACGUGAGCAACCUGCCCUUCUCAUCGGAAUAAGCGUUGGAAACGACGUCUAAUGCCGAAUACGACCUCCUUUCGCAUGAUCGGAGGUGGAAAGCUCCGGCGGAGAAGGAGGGGCUCGCGGCCUAUCAGCUUGUUGGUGGGGUAACGGCCCACCAAGGCGACGACGGGUAGCCGGCCUGAGAGGGUGACCGGCGACACUGGGGCUGAGACACGGCCCAGACGCCUACGGGAGGCAGCAGUGGGGAAUAUUGGACAAUGGGCGAAAGCCUGAUCCAGCAACGACGCGUGAGGGAUGACGGCCUUCGGGUUGUAAACCUCUUGCAGCAGGGACGAAGCGAAAGUGACGGUACCUGCAGAAGAAGGACCGGCCAACUACGGGCCAGCCGCCGCGGUAAAAC
rnacentral:rRNA from 1 species